GCGCCGCGUUGGAACGCCCAAAGAGGUUGUGCUGAUGAGGUGGUUGGAAGCGGUUGGUGGGUGGGUAUAUGGCGGCUAGGCCUGGAAGGCCACGAGGACUGCUAGCACCGUAGGGUCAGGCUUCCUCAUGCCACAGGUCGCCGAGGCUUGGGGGAGAGAUCGGGGUCCCAGGGGCGAACCCUUGGGCGCAUUGAUGGCGGCAGGCUAACCUAGCCAACAGGGUGCCGCUGCCGGGCGAGGCGAGGAGCAAGAAGAUUUCCAGGGCUGGGAGGUAGAGGGCCAGGACCCCGAGGAAAGGGCUUACUGCGAGGAGCAACCCAGGAUGGAUAAGGAGUUGAGGCCCCAGGGAUGCUGAGCCUGCACGAGUGGAAGGGUCCCUGGAGCCUUCUGCAGCUGUGCCUCUCCAGAGCUCUGCCUCAUUAGUGCCAUGUUCCUGGUUUGAAAACCAUGGUACUUCAGCCUCUUCUAGAUGGGAGUUAAACUUUGCCCUCUGAAGGAAAUGUUUGAUAAGCAGAGUGUUUGGUAAACAAGAUCCUUGUGGAGGUAAGAACAGGACUCUGAGUCCACCGGCCCGGCUGCUCUGCAGGUUUCCAUAUCACAUCUUCCGCACAUGUCCAUUCAAGCUGGAGUUGGGCGUGUCUAGUUUUGAAUAAAGGCCUAUCAGGCCCUCUUCAGAUGCACCUGCCAGUCAGAGCCUACUGUGGAGUCACCACUGGACUUCUUUAGAAAUGGCUCGAUCCAUUUUUGGUGGUGACUGCACCACCCACAGGCACCUAAAAUUGGAGGACUUUUGGUAGCUGAUUACCACCAAAUGUCCUCAGACAAUACAUGGGAGACUCCAAGCCAGUUGCUAUUUAAAAAAAAAAAAGGCGGCAGAGCAUUGGUGGAGCAGACCCUUCUUACUGCUGCAUAUGAGACGAUCCCAUGGAAUGCAGUCAGCCACAGGUUUAUCCACAUGUGCUCUGCAGUUAGAUUUCCGGCCUUCCUCUUCCUGAGGAGGUCCCUAGAGAGAGCCAGUCUGAGGCCUGACCAUUGUUCCUUCACUGGCAGCACUCAAGAGUAAUCCUCAAAGACCUCCCCCUCCAGCCCUAGCUGGGUUCCUAACUUUCCAGCUAUUUCAUAUCUUCUUUGUGAAUGUUCCCAGGCAGAGUGGCCAGACCGACUCACACUGACAGUUCUCAUCAGCCAGUCUCAUCUUCCUAAAGAAAUCCAGAAUCAGCCACAUGAAGCUGACGCUAGAGGCCCGUCAGCAUUGGAGGACACGGGAGAAGCAGCUCAGGUCUUCAGCAGAAGCAGGGCAGUUCUCCCAGUGGUUUUCCUUGACUGUGAGGAACUGGCCUGCCGCUUUGCUGGGGAGUGAGCUGCCAGCUCCUCUUUGAUGUGCUGUGUUUGUUGAGAACCAGGCAGGGGUGCUUCACCAUGGCAGCACUUGAAUUAGGCAAUGUUUCAUGGACUCUUCUCCGGGGGCCCCACAUGAAACAUCAUUAGCACAGACCUGCCACUCAGAUCAAGGUAGCCAGCAGAGCCAGCAGAGAAUAGCCUUCAGAAGAAGAACGGCAAGGCCAGACGGCAGCGCGUGAGGCUAGGGCAGAGCUGUGAUGAACUGUUGAAGGUGCCCUGAGCCUGCCGCCAAGGCCGCCUAGGAGCUGAGACAGAGAUGGAGUGGCUGGGAGGCGAGUUUGAUGUGCAUGUUUGGGUAGAGGGCCUUGGCUGAGUACCGCGUGAGCCCUUGUGCAGAGAGGGCCCGUGUCCAUGGGUCUGGGGUCCACCACAGGCCACUGAGAUGGGGCAGGGCUGGGAGGGUGCAGGAGGGGAGAUCCUGAGUAACAUUGUGAAAUUGGGUCCAACUUCGAGUGGAAGGUGAGAGAAAGGACCCUUCCGGAGGGCCCCCCCUCAAUCCUGUUGUGCCUGAUUCAGAGGGUUGGGUGGAGGCUCUCCCGAAGGGCUCUGGAGAACACCACACCCACAGCCAUGCCGGGAGUGGAGAGGGCAGUAGAUGCAAGAGGGGCCUGUCAUGUCACCUGCCGGGUCCCCUGGGGUGGCCGGGGAGUGGUAACCUCGCUGUGCCACUCCUCUGCCAGUCUCCCAUGGGUCCCCACUGCUGGGAUCUUCACUCACCCCCCAGCCUCAGCAGCAAGCACCUACAGGAUGCAGUGCCACCCCCCCAUCCCUGUUCCCCUUCCUGAGGCUCCUUCCACCCUCACUGCCGCCUCCUUGGGAAGGCCUCCCCUCCUUCCCCCACCUCACAGCGUGCAGGGCCUGGGGCUUCUGCUGGGGGGCUCAUCUGUUGCACACCCCUGCUAGGCCAGGAGCUCCAGGGCAAGGCCAUAGCUGCCUUGUGGUUUGUUCUGUUGCCCAGUUCGUUUCCACACAUGUGGCACCCAGCAGGUACCUAAUAAACUUGUGUA